CCUACGGGUGGCAGCAGUGAGGAAUAUUGGUCAAUGGUCGGGAGACUGAACCAGCCAAGCCGCGUGAGGGAGGAAGGUACAGAGUAUCGUAAACCUCUUUUGUCAGGGAACAAAGGCGGGGACGUGUCCCCGGAUGAGUGUACCUGAAGAAAAAGCAUCGGCUAACUCCGUGCCAGCAGCCGCGGUAAUACGGAGGAUGCGAGCGUUAUCCGGAUUUGUUGGGUUUAAAGGGUGCGCAGGCGGUCUGUUAAGUCAGCGGUAAAAGCCCGGGGCUCAACCCCGUCCCGCCGUUGAAACUGGCAGUCUCGAGUUGGAGAGAAGUAUGCGGAAUGCGCGGUGUAGCGGUGAAAUGCAUAGAUAUCGCGCAGAACUCCGAUUGCGAAGGCAGCAUGCCGGCUCCAGACUGACGCUGAGGCACGAAAGCGUGGGUAUCGAACAGGAUUAGAUACCCUUGUAGUC
rnacentral:rRNA from 1 species